rnacentral:rRNA from 1 species
AUUGAACGCUGGCGGCAUGCCUUACACAUGCAAGUCGAACGGCAGCACGGGAGCAAUCCUGGUGGCGAGUGGCGAACGGGUGAGUAAAGUAUCGGAACGUGCCCAGUCGUGGGGGAUAACGUAGCGAAAGUUACGCUAAUACCGCAUACGAUCUAUGGAUGAAAGCGGGGGAUCGCAAGACCUCGCGCGAUUGGAGCGGCCGAUAUCAGAUUAGGUAGUUGGUGGGGUAAAGGCCCACCAAGCCGACGAUCUGUAGCUGGUCUGAGAGGACGACCAGCCACACGGGGACGGAGACACGGCCCAGACUCCUACGGGAGGCAGCAGUGGGGAAUUUUGGACAAUGGGCGAAAGCCUGAUCCAGCCAUGCCGCGUGCAGGAUGAAGGCCUUCGGGUUGUAAACUGCUUUUGUACGGAACGAAAAGGACUGCCCUAAUACGGUGGUCCCAUGACGGUACCGUAAGAAUAAGCACCGGCUAACUACGUGCCAGCCGCCGCCGUAAGAC